GACGUAGGGGGCCAGCGUUGCUCGGAAUUACUGGGUGUAAAGGGUUCGUAGGCGGUGUGGCAAGUCGGGAGUGAAAUCUCUGGGCUCAACCCAGGGGCUGCUUCCGAAACUGCCGUGCUAGAGUGUGGGAGAGGCGCGUGGAAUUGCAGGUGUAGCGGUGAAAUGCGUAGAUAUCUGCAGGAACACCCGUGGCGAAAGCGGCGCGCUGGACCACUACUGACGCUGAGGAACGAAAGUGUGGGGAGCGAACAGG
rnacentral:rRNA from 1 species